rnacentral:rRNA from 1 species
UGGGGAAUAUUGGACAAUGGGCGAAAGCCUGAUCCAGCCAUGCCGCGUGUGUGAAGAAGGUCUUCGGAUUGUAAAGCACUUUAAGUUGGGAGGAAGGGCAUUAACCUAAUACGUUAGUGUUUUGACGUUACCGACAGAAUAAGCACCGGCUAACUCUGUGCCAGCAGCCGCGGUAAUACAGAGGGUGCAAGCGUUAAUCGGAAUUACUGGGCGUAAAGCGCGCGUAGGUGGUUUGUUAAGUUGGAUGUGAAAUCCCCGGGCUCAACCUGGGAACUGCAUUCAAAACUGACUGACUAGAGUAUGGUAGAGGGUGGUGGAAUUUCCUGUGUAGCGGUGAAAUGCGUAGAUAUAGGAAGGAACACCAGUGGCGAAGGCGACCACCUGGACUAAUACUGACACUGAGGUGCGAGAGCGUGGGGAGCAAACA